rnacentral:rRNA from 1 species
GGANAACUUUUCUGUUGGNACAACCUUGGGUGGGGAGGGAUUUUCUUGAAAUGGCUGCCCUUUCAACUUUCGAUGGUAAGAUCAAAGCUUCCCAUGGUUGUAACGGGUAACGGGGAAUCAGGGUUCGAUUCCGGAGAAGGAGCCUGAGAAACGGCUUCCCCAUCCACGGAAGGCAGCAGGCGCGCAAAUUACCCAAUACCGGCUCGGUGAGGUAGUGACAAAAAAUAACAAUAUGGGCCCUAGUGGUUUCAUAAUUGCAAUGAGAUGAUUUUAAAUACUUUUUCAAGUAUCAAUUGGAGGGCAAGUCUGGUGCCAGCAGCCGCGGUAAUUCCAGCUCCAAAAGCGUAUAUUAAAGUUGUUGCAGUUAAAAAGCUCGUAGUUGAAAUUCGGGAAUCGAAAUGUUUUGCAUAUCUUUUGAUAGAAAUUCAUUUCGUCCUUCUUCUCGUGUAUAUUGAUUGGGUACUUUAUUGUAUCUGAUUAAUAACCGAAAAGUUUAUUUUGAAAAAAUUAGAGUGCUUAAAGCAGGCUUAUGCUUGUAUAUUGUUGCAUGGAAUAAUAAAAUAUGACUUUGGUUUUAUUUUGUUGGUUUUUGAAACUGAAGUAAUGAUUAAAAGAGACUGCCGGGGGCAUAAGUAUUCUGUUGGGAGAGGUGAAAUUCGUAGAUCAACAGAAGACUAACUACUGCGAAAGCAUUUGCCAAGAAUGUUUUCAUUAAUCAAGAACGAAAGUCAGAGGAUCGAAGACGAUCAGAUACCGUCCUAGUUCUGACCAUAAACUAUGCCAACUGACAGUUAGCUAAGGUAUAUCAUUAUCCUUGCUAGAAGUCACCGGGAAACCAAAGUCUAUGGGUUCCGGGGGAAGUAUGGUUGCAAAGCUGAAACUUAAAGGAAUUGACGGAAGGGCACCACAAGGAGUGGAGCCUGCGGCUUAAUUUGACUCAACACGGGAAAUCUCACCCGGUCCGGACACUGUGAGGAUUGACAGAUUGAUAGCUCUUUCUUGAUUUGGUGGGUAGUGGUGCAUGGCCGUUCUUAGUUGGUGGAGCGAUUUGUCUGGUUAAUUCCGAUAACGAACGAGACUCGAACCUGCUAAAUAGUACAUUUGUGUUAAAUUGCAAAUGCUGACUUCUUNGAGGAAUAAAUAGCGUUUAGCUAAAUGAAANUGAGCAAUANCAGGUCUGUGAUGCCCUUAGAUGUCCGGGGCCNCNCGCGCGCUNCAAUGUCAGUAACAACGAGUUUUUUCCUAACUAGAAAUGGUAUGGUAAUCUUGNGAAUCACUGUCGUAUCAGGAAUAGUGGUUUGAAAUUUUYCCACUUGAACGAGGAAUUCCUAGUAAGCGCAAGUCACUAACUUGCGCUGAUUACGUCCCUGCCCUUUGUACACACCGCCCGUCGCUACUACCGAUUGAAUGGUUUAGUGAGAUUGUUGGAUUCUNAUUUAAGAAAUGGYAACAUUNUC